rnacentral:rRNA from 1 species
UACGUAGGGUGCGAGCGUUAAUCGGAAUUACUGGGCGUAAAGCGUGCGCAGGCGGUUGUGCAAGACAGAUGUGAAAUCCCCGGGCUCAACCUGGGAACUGCAUUUGUGACUGCACAGCUUGAGUGCGGCAGAGGGGGAUGGAAUUCCGCGUGUAGCAGUGAAAUGCGUAGAUAUGCGGAGGAACACCGAUGGCGAAGGCAGCCCCCUGGGCUAGCACUGACGCUCAGGCACGAAAGCGUGGGGAGCAAACAGG